rnacentral:rRNA from 1 species
GAUGAACGCUAGCUACAGGCUUAACACAUGCAAGUCGAGGGGCAGCACUAGGUAGCAAUACUGAGGUGGCGACCGGCGCACGGGUGCGUAACGCGUAUCCAACCUUCCCGAUACUCUUGGAUAGCCUUCCGAAAGGGAGAUUAAUACAAGAUGGUGUUUCACUUUCGCAUGUUAUUGAAACUAAAGAUUUAUCGGUAUCGGAUGGGGAUGCGUGACAUUAGAUAGUAGGCGGGGUAACGGCCCACCUAGUCUACGAUGUCUAGGGGUUCUGAGAGGAAGGUCCCCCACACUGGAACUGAGACACGGUCCAGACUCCUACGGGAGGCAGCAGUGAGGAAUAUUGGUCAAUGGUCGGAAGACUGAACCAGCCAAGUAGCGUGAAGGAUGACUGCCCUAUGGGUUGUAAACUUCUUUUAUACGGGAACAAACCCCGGUACGUGUACCGGAUUGCGUGUACCGUAUGAAUAAGCAUCGGCUAACUCCGUG